UUUCUAGCGCUCGCAGACGUUGGCCGUUCCGACAACGUGUCGUGAAGUUCGACCCACCGAUCAUGCCCACAGCGUCGACGAAUACACGGUUGGCCACGGUGUUCGUGGUGGCUGCCUUGCUAUGCGCGCGGACGUCGGGCCAGGGCAAUUCGUAUUCGGUCAGCAGCUUCCACCACGAGAGCUUCGGACCCGACGGCGUGGUGACGGGCCGCUCUGGCUACAAGGACUCGUCCGGCAAGAGCCGCUUCACGCAUUACCAGGUGGGCAAGGACGGCAGGCGUAAGUUCAUCCGCGACGACCCCGAGGGUGACAUCGAGUCCAGGAGCCUGCUGCCGGACCCGUCCAAGAUUGGCGUCGGCUUCCCCGGAGGAUUCCCCGGCUUCGGAGACCCGAAUUUCGAUUUCUUCAAGGCUCUGGGCUUCCCGAAGGACACCUUCUUCCCCACUUUCCCCAAGGACCUGCUGCCUCGUGACCUCCUGCCAUCCUCUGAUAACGGCGGAUCUGGAGGCUUCGGUCAGGGAGUGCAAGGUCGCAAGGGCAUCGGGAACAGCUUCCCCUGGUCUGCACGCCCUCGCUACUGAGACCACGGACAACUCCCUCCCGCAUGGACACAACCACAUGACAACGUGGUGACUCUCGAAAAAACCACGUCGACGACCAACUUCUUCGGUGGAGCUCUACUGCCACCGCUCAUCGCCACGCAAUACUUUUUUCCGCCUGACCUGCUUCCGCGAGAGCUGCAGACGACACCGUCCCCUGCAUCCGGCGAGGCCAAGCCAACUC
rnacentral:misc_RNA from 1 species